rnacentral:rRNA from 1 species
UACAGAGGGGGCAAGCGUUGUUCGGAAUUACUGGGCGUAAAGGGUGCGUAGGUGGGUCUGUAAGUCAGUGGUGAAAUCUCCGAGCUUAACUCGGAAACUGCCAUUGAUACUAUAGGUCUUGAAUUAUCUGGAGGUGAGCGGAAUAUGUCAUGUAGCGGUGAAAUGCUUAGAUAUGACAUAGAACACCAAUUGCGAAGGCAGCUCACUACGGAUAUAUUGACACUGAGGCACGAAAGCGUGGGGAUCAAACAGG